rnacentral:rRNA from 1 species
UACGGAGGAUGCGAGCGUUAUCCGGAUUUAUUGGGUUUAAAGGGUGCGUAGGCGGGCCUUCAGGCCGGCGGUAAAAUUGCGGGGCUCAACUCCGCCGAGCCGUCGGAACCGGGGGCCUUGAGUACCGGAGAAGUACGCGGAAUGCGUGGUGUAGCGGUGAAAUGCAUAGAUAUCACGCAGAACCCCGAUUGCGAAGGCAGCGUACCGGCCGGUCACUGACGCUGAGGCACGAAAGCGCGGGUAUCGAACAGG